rnacentral:rRNA from 1 species
AUUGAACGCUGGCGGCAUGCCUAACACAUGCAAGUCGAACGAGUGGCGGACGGGUGAGUAAUGUCUGGUAAACUUCCUCAUCGAGGGGGAUCACUACUGGAAACGGUCUCUAAUACCGCAUACCAUCAGAUUUGCCCAGCUGGGAUUAGCUUGUUGGUGGGGUAACGGCUCACCAAGGCGACGAUCCCUAGCUGGUCUGAGAGGAUGACCAGCAACACGGGAACGGAGAAACGGGCCAGAGGCCAAGGGGAGGCAGGAGUGGGGAAUAGGGGACAAUGGGGGAAAGGCUGAGGAAGAAAGGCGGGGGGGAUGAAGAAGGGAGUGGGGUUGAAAAGUACGUUAAGCGGGGAGGCGUUACCGGAAGAAGAAGCACCGGCUAACUACGUGCCAGCAGCCGCGGUAAUAC